GCAUGUGUUGUGAGCUCGAUGAGUAGGGCGGGACACGUGGUAUCCUGUCUGAAUAUGGGGGGACCAUCCUCCAAGGCUAAAUACUCCUGACUGACCGAUAGUGAACCAGUACCGUGAGGGAAAGGCGAAAAGAACCCCGGCGAGGGGAGUGAAAAAGAACCUGAAACCGUGUACGUACAAGCAGUGGGAGCACCCUUUUGGGUGUGACUGCGUACCUUUUGUAUAAUGGGUCAGCGACUUAUAUUCUGUAGCAAGGUUAACCGAAUAGGGGAGCCGGAGGGAAACCGAGUCUUAAUUGGGCGUUAAGUUGCAGGGUAUAGACCCGAAACCCGGUGAUCUAGCCAUGGGCAGGUUGAAGGUUGGGUAACACUAACUGGAGGACCGAACCGACUAAUGUUGAAAAAUUAGCGGAUGACCUGUGGCUGGGGGUGAAAGGCCAAUCAAACCGGGAGAUAGCUGGUUCUCCCCGAAAGCU
rnacentral:rRNA from 1 species